UACGUAGGGAGCAAGCGUUGUCCGGAAUCAUUGGGCGUAAAGCGCGCGUAGGUGGUCCCGUAAGUCCGCUGUGAAAGUCAAAGGCUCAACCCUUGAAAGCCGGUGGAUACUGUGGGACUAGAGUACGGAAGAGGCGAGUGGAAUUCCUGGUGUAGCGGUGGAAUGCGCAGAUAUCAGGAGGAACACCAAUAGCGAAGGCAGCUCGCUGGGACGUUACUGACACUGAGGCGCGAAAGCGUGGGGAGCGAACAGG
rnacentral:rRNA from 1 species